CAUGUUUGGCACAAGACUUUCGCUCACAAGCAGGACACAUACAAAGUUUAGCCAGUAUCCAGGGCUCCUCAGAUCUUUGCUUCUUGUGAGGUAUAACGAAGAUGGUCUGUAAAGGUUGUACUACAAGAAACCCAAGGAAUACCUCUGUUCUCUUUCCUGUAACCCCUGAGGCUCACACUUCCAAUUCUGAGGAAUAAUCAACUAAAUGAUAUGUCCAGAGCGUAUGACGUCAUCUUUACAUUACCACAGAUCAUGGGGGAGACAAUACAGGCUUCUCCCCAGCCUUCUAAUCCCUCAUGGGGUGUGAUGUGUCAUGGAUCUUCGUUCCAUGGUGAAGUCCCGAUGGACCUUACCUGAUGAAAGGUCUGGAGAGGGCCAGAACGGGUGACAUCAUCAAAUGACCAAGAGCACCUAUAGAGCUAUUGAAUGACAACUGUGGAGAUGAAAAAGCCAUCAGCAAUUGCUGAUUGGUUAUCCAGUGUCUUACCUCCUGUCAAUCAUCUGAUAGCACCUCCUCAGCCAGCUGAUGCCAGGCAUCCUCCUGCGAGGUGUGGCUCCGUUCAGGUAGGGCCUGAUGACCUGCAUGUCUAUCCUCUGCUCCUGGUCCCCGAUGACCACGGUCCUCCAAAGGCGUUCAGCGCUGUCCUCCUCUUCGUGGUCGCCAGGCAGACUCUUGGCGCUCGCCACUGGGGUGUCAUCUAACAGAAUAAUACGAGUCCCCUUGUCUAACCUUCCCACUCCAACUCGUUGCUGUUGUUGAUAAAUUCAAGCGAGUCAUUGUCGUCAGGGGUCUCAAUGUCAUCCACGUUGAUGUCCUGGUCAUCGGGCGUUUCCAGGAAGUCAUCUGAGAGCACUGAUCCCUCACUCUGGUCUAGGGACAAGUUCAUCUCCGGAGCCACGAGCGUACGGCGUUUCCGAUGGACGGCAGACUCACCCACAUUCAGAGUGGUGGGCGGAGCUAGAAGUAGGAAAUUAUCUUGACAAAAGGUCCUUGACCACACUUUAUAUUAAAGUCUACCACUGCAGAUUUUUGAAUAAAAAUAAAUUUGGGGGUUUUCUGCAAUGUGGGGUUGUUUGGGAUGUAUUUAGAUGUUAUUAAAAUCUUUGCUUUCUGUUCUUGGAAAGACCCACAGACAGCAUUGAUAACUUGUUAUUCCGGUGCCAUUGUACAUGAUAGGAUGCAGUGGUUUACAACAAAUGUAUCAAUAAAGCCCUUCAAAGAAUAAGAGGUCUAAACAAACUGGACAAAUAAUCAAUAAACAUACAUUUAU